rnacentral:tRNA from 1 species
GCCUGGCUGGCUCAGUUGGUUAAGCAUCUGACUUUGGCUCAGGUCAUGAUCUCACAGUUUGUGGGUUCAAGCCCCGCAUUGGGCU